UACGAAGGGUGCAAGCGUUACUCGGAAUUACUGGGCGUAAAGCGUUCGUAGGUGGUUCGUUAAGUCUGUCGUGAAAGCCCCGGGCUCAACCUGGGAAUGGCGAUGGAUACUGGCGGGCUAGAGUGCGGUAGAGGAGAGUGGAAUUCCCGGUGUAGCAGUGAAAUGCGUAGAGAUCGGGAGGAACAUCAGUUGCGAAGGCGGCUCUCUGGACCAGCACUGACACUGAGGCACGAAAGCGUGGGGAGCAAACAGG
rnacentral:rRNA from 1 species